GUUGCACUUUUAUUGCUUUAUACGAAACAGGGAUAAAUUAUGAAAAGAUAUCGCUUUUAAAACCUUCAAACCAUCUAUUCAACCGCAAAGAUGCCUUUCCCGGACGAUGUCAUAACCACAUAACCAUGAAAUCCCCCGUUCAACUAGUUAUGGAACGUAUAAGUUCAGUGGACUACGUAUUUAUUGACAGUACGUAAUUUUAAGGCAAGUUUUCACUGUGCACGUUGUUCAAAAGAGCAAAGUUGUUUCCAAUGUUAACCCACUGAUGGUGAUAAUGCACACUGGACUAUAUAGAAGGAAUAAAGGAGCAUGCUGGAUACACAUAAACCUUAAGGGUAACACCACAGAGAUUUUUACCGAUCUUUAUGUAUAGAAUGAAAACUUCCCCCCUAAAUCUU